rnacentral:rRNA from 1 species
GAUGAACGCUAGCGAUAGGCUUAACACAUGCAAGUCGAGGGGCAGCACAAGGUAGCUUGCUAUCUGGGUGGCGACCGGCGCACGGGUGCGUAACGCGUAUGCAACUUGCCCUAUACAGGAGGAUAACCCGUCGAAAGACGGACUAAUACUGCGUAUGCUCACAACUUGGCAUCAAGUGGUGAGGAAAGAAAUUCGGUAUAGGAUAGGCAUGCGUCCCAUUAGCUUGUUGGUGAGGUAACGGCUCACCAAGGCAACGAUGGGUAGGGGAACUGAGAGGUUUAUCCCCCACACUGGUACUGAGACACGGACCAGACUCCUACGGGAGGCAGCAGUGAGGAAUAUUGGGCAAUGGGCGCGAGCCUGAACCAGCCAAGUCGCGUGAAGGAUGACUGUCUUAUGGAUUGUAAACUUCUUUUAUACGGGAAUAACAAGAGUCACGUGUGACUCCCUGCAUGUACCGUAUGAAUAAGCAUCGGCUAACUCCGUG